rnacentral:rRNA from 1 species
UACGUAGGGCGCGAGCGUUGUCCGGAAUCAUUGGGCGUAAAGAGCUCGUAGGCGGCCGGUUGCGUCUGCUGUGAAAUCCCGGGGCUUAACCCCGGGCGUGCAGUGGAUACGGGCUGGCUGGAGGCAGGCAGGGGAGAAUGGAAUUCCCGGUGUAGCGGUGAAAUGCGCAGAUAUCGGGAGGAACACCGGUGGCGAAGGCGGUUCUCUGGGCCUGCACUGACGCUCAUGCACGAAAGCGUGGGGAGCAAACAGG